rnacentral:rRNA from 1 species
AUGAUUUCUGUAACAACGCAGGAAACAAAAGCUGGCGUGGGCUCCCGUUCUGCGCCCGCUGCGUCGCCCGAAUUGUGCGAGUCCCUGUCGCGCUCGCCGGCCCCGAGGCGGAUGGGGGAAGGCCCGGCAUGGCGUGCCGCUUUUAUUAGUGCUUGGCCAUGGUCAGUCACGGAGGAGGAGCUAUGCAAGUGCGGGUUAAUCAUUGCCUGCGCGAUGUCGACGCCCCUUCCGAUGGUCACACAGGACAAAACAGUGGCUGCCGUGCUGCGCGCCCGACGGGGGCAAUGGCAUCGUCUCACAUGGGGCGCCGGCGCUGCCUGCCUGCCUUUUCCCGUCUCCUUGAGUGGGUGUGCAUGCCGUGCCAACGUCUUUUAA